UGGGGAAUAUUGCACAAUGGGGGAAACCCUGAUGCAGCGACGCCGCGUGAACGAAGAAGGUAUUCGUAUCGUAAAGUUCUGUCCUAUGGGAAGAUAAUGACAGUACCAUAGAAGAAAGCUCCGGCUAAAUACGUGCCAGCAGCCGCGGUAAUACGUAUGGAGCGAGCGUUGUCCGGAAUUAUUGGGCGUAAAGGGUACGCAGGCGGUUUAAUAAGUCGAAUGUUAAAGAUCGGGGCUCAACCCCGCAAAGCAUUGGAAACUGAUAAACUUGAGUAGUGGAGAGGAAAGUUGAAUUCCUAGUGUAGUGGUGAAAUACGUAGAUAUUAGGAGGAAUACCAGUAGCGAAGGCGACUUUCUGGACACAAACUGACGCUGAGGUACGAAAGCGUGGGGAGCAAACAGG
rnacentral:rRNA from 1 species